AGCACUGCAGGUGCCUGUAAUUAACUCACUAAUUGUGCCGUUGUCAGUUCAUCUUGGAACAGAAUGGGGGGUCCGUGUCUCUCUUUGCUGCUGUACUGGAGGGAUCCCCUGCACCACCCUGCUCUGGGCAAUUCAACAAAAAUGGCAGCACAGCGCUGUAAUGGAACAAACCCCAGAAUGUUGAGGUGGAGAUUCAUACCCAGGUUUUUACCAGUGAUUGUCACUAUUGUUGGUCUGACCUCCUUAACUGUAAGUACUUAAUUACUUUGCUUUUGUGUACAGUGGGAAUGAGGGGUGGCUUUGCAUGGAAAGGUACAAUAUUGUCACCCGGACCGAUUUAAUUCCAUUAUUUACCAGCUAUCGUUGGCAUGACUUUCUUAAUUGUAAGUACUUCAUUUCUUUGCUUUUGUGUAUGGUGGGAACGGGGGUUGCUUUGCAUGUAAACCUAUAUAGGAAAGGUACAAUAUUAUCACACAGACAUAUUACUGUUUUUUACUACUGAUCGUCGAUAUUGUUGGUCUGACCAUCUUAACUGUAACUACUUAAUUUUUUUACUUUUGCUUAUGGUGGGAACAAGGGGCUGCUUUGCAUGUAAACAGGUAUAUAUUGUCACCAC